CCUCCCUUAAACCUACUCGGUAUGGCUCUGUCUGCCAGCUUCCUUACCCCCCUCUGUGGGACAGGUCAGAGGGAGAAGGGUCAGCACAGUGUGGAGGGAGGACUGUGAGCAGGAAGGAACACAGGACCCUGACAUUUGAUGAGAUACAGCAGUUUGUGAUCCUAGCAGCAAGGAACGUGAUCCACAUAAGCAUGCAACUCUUCCCCAUCACUGGGUCCCUGCCUUCUGUGAGUGUCUGUGUGUCUGAGCACAGCUUUAGAAUCUGCAAGACACUGAACUGCAGUUCCUCCACCCACAGCAGACUCAGGCUCUACAUUCUCAACCACAGAAGUGGCCACAGCCAAACCUACCUUGAAGGACUCCAUGAGGGUUAAUUUGAUGGUAUGAGUGGGAGUCCCUGGCAUGGUAGUUGUUUUCCACAGUAAAGAUAAAUUAAUUAUAGGUA
rnacentral:sRNA from 1 species